AAUAAUAAAUUGUCGAAAAUCGGAGGGAGGCGGGGCCCCUCCCCUGCUUGGAUUCAAAAUCUGUUUUCCUUUAGCUAAGAAAGCAAGAAAAUUUACUUUGAGACUUAUAAUGUAGAAAUGCCAAGGUUCUGAUGUGAGCCCAUGCUAUUUUAUUCAGUUCAACUUAUAAUAUUGUUGUGGCGGUUGUAUUUUUAGUUAUGAAAUCGUAUACUGGUGUGUGAACGGGCGUUUAGCAGGGGAGAUGUGUUGUUGUAUCAAUGUCAUGGUAGUUGUAUUUUGAAUUAGGGAUUUGUAUCUUCUGGUGUUUGGAAUCCGAACUUUGGUGAUUGUUUAGCAAAAGAGAUUCUGUUUUAUACCUCUGAUGUGGGCUCUGACAUGGUGGUACUUUAAAGAGUCAAAAUCCAUGCAAUUUGGCAUUAAAGAGCAAGAGAAGUGCUUCUAUGAUGCUUACCACUUUGUGCCUUUGGUUUCUUAUACAAUCCACGACCUUUUUUUGAGUGGGUUGUACUUGUACCUUUGGUUAUCCUCUCUUUUGUUUUCUAGGGGCUUUAGGAUAGUUAUUGGACUUACAAUAAGGGGGAACCAUAACAUUGUCUGCUCUUUGACAAUCGGCAAAGUAAUUUGGACUUGAGUUGUUCACUGCAGUCAGUUGAUGUGUAAGAGUAAAACUUUCCUAGAAUUUUCCCGCUUCAACUAUUUGCUGUGGCUUCUUAAAUGGUUGUUGUAGUGUUUGUGACAUCAAAUUCUAAUUGAUUCUGGAAGAUGUUAUGUGGAUUAAAAAUGAAUUGCACAACAAUCAUGCAAACUUUCUUUCUAUGGUCAAUUGUUUCAGCAACAAAAUGGCAAAUUUUUUGAUAUGGACAACCACAGUGGAUUUGGCAAGGAAUAGUGAGCGGAUUCUCUCUCUUUAUCGCCAACUAUUGCGGAGGCUUAACUCCCCUGAUUUGCCGCUGAACUUGGCAGCAAGACUGGCCAAAAAAGCUGAGGUUCGUGCCAUCUUCAUGCUGGCUUCUGAGGAGCGAUCCCUCCACAACAUGGAAGAUCUCAUUGAUGCUGCUGACUACUCCCUCUCCCUCUUAAGAAAAGGCCAAAUCCCCAAAUACAUCCAAUGAAUAAGUGAAUGACAACAACAAUAAUUCAUUUCUGUAUCAAUUUUGUGGCUCUACUGCUCUAUGGUAAAAUAACUUGGUGAUCAUGGAUGGCUUGAAAUCUAUUACUAAAGCAAUACCGAGAACAUUUUCCAUCAGUUUCAGAUUAUUCUUUUAACCUCAAAUUUGUGCACUGUGACUCCAUGGACAUCUAAUACUUGUUCGGUCCAGCGAGAGACAUUAUGAAAGUGGAAGAGGUCAUGCUGCAAGAUUUGAAUGGGAAAGAUAAUUUUUAUCCAACCGCGGUAAAAAAAAAAGGGUUUGUUCAUUUGCUUAUUCCACUUCAUACAAUGGUAUGUGUUAAUUUGCUACUGAAAUUAUUUGAAAACUUGAGGGUGACUGAAUGAAUUGGAUAUGUUUUAACAUAGUUACUAGUUAUCUUGUGUUAGUUCAAGCUGGCCUACCCCUUGUUAUUUUGCGUUUAUUUUCACUUUUUAUUCAUUUCCUGUGAACAUUUUCUUAAUGUGUUUUUGACCAAUGAAGUUUUGUGGUGAGCCUAGUAAUGACCACAGCAGUAAUUUAAUCAAAUCUCAAGUGACUAGGGAUUAUUGAGAACCAUGUAUCCUGCAUUUCUCAACCUCCACAAGGGAAAAUUCAUGCAUAGAAUAUCAGGAGAGAGAGAGAGACUUGCCAAAAAAAAAAUUGUGAAAAACAGGGCAUUUUGACCAUAUGUGUAAUCUGAUAUACAGAAUGUAAUAGGAAAUAUAUGAGUUUAGCCCUUACUAUUCCUGAGGGCAGUUGAAGCAAUUCAUACCCCCAGCCCAAGAGAGCAAAAAAAUAAAUAAAUAAAAAUAAGUAACAAAAAGCAAAAAGCAAAAAUAUAAACUUAUGAACAAUUCAAAAGAAUGAUGUCAAUGUUUGGUUUUGUCCUGAUAGGCAUACCAAAGUGCAAUUGAUGUGUUGCAUAGCUACUUUAGAGAAAAUUUUGUUGAAUUAGCAGACAAUGUUGUAAAGAAAAUUGUUGCAUAUCAUUAGAAUUUACUUUGAUCAAUUAAUUACUGGUAUUCCAAACAUUUCAACAGGGCACUAUUUACCCCAAUUUCGUAAAUGAGAUCCAAUGUUAAAACAUUUGGCAAUUCUGGUGAUUUUUCUAGUAAUUGGGAUGAAAAACUUACUGAGUUGAGUUAAUAUGGAAUAAUAAGUUUGACAACGUAAAACCUAAUCUAGUACGAAUAUUAAUUUAAAAAUAAGUAACAAAAAGCAAAAAGCAAAAAUAUAAACUUAUGAUUGGCCAUGAAAGAUGUUGUAAAGUAGUUUUUCAUAUGCAUGUUGCAGUAACUUAUUGGAAUGAACAAUGUUGAUAAAACUUUUUGAUGAUUCUGUUUGAGAAAUGAAAACUCCUAAUCCUUGUGUGCCAUGCACCAAGAUAUGUUUUA